CUUCCCACAAUGGCGCGCGCGCACACGCGCUCAUGAAGUCCAAAAGCGGCGUUACAUUAUAAUUAGGCAAACACAAUAAUAAUGAGAACAACAACCAUCACCGGUACAAGCCCUCAUAGCGCCACUCAGUUGCAUUGCAGUCUACGAGACGUCGCUGUACAUUUCAUUACCAAGUCGAGCACGGGGGUGGGUAAAACAAAAAUCUCUUUACGUCUUGUUUCUAAUGUGAAAGGACAGUGUUCAUGUAAUAUUAACCACUGCGAAGCUAAGGGCCCGAAUUUCAGCAUUAAAGGCGAGGCAUUAGAGGCGCUACGCAUAGUACUCGUCGUGUCGUCGCGGUCUUUAAAAAUCCAUACUAUACCUAUAUAGAUUUCUCUCUGUGCCUGUGUGUCUCUGCGUGUGUCUUUGUGUGUCCGUGCGUCUCUCUCUCUCUGGGUGCCUGUGGGGAGCCGUGGCGCAGUAGUUAGCGGCCUUUUGCUCAUCAACCACGGCGAACUGAGUUCGAUUGACGAUCAGGGCCAGCAUCAGUGGUCUCCCUUUACGGACGAGACGCGUGAUCCGAAUGGGCUCUCACCUGAUGCGUGGAACGGCAAUGAACCAUGGGACGGAAGGAAGUGUAUGCUGUCGAUCGCUGUCUCCACAGCAUCCUCCAAUCCUGGACCACCCUCCAAUCCCAUGGUAUCGGAAAACACAGCAAAGCGGCACAUGUAUAUGAAUAUAUAUGAAGGACAUCAAUGUCCUCGGACUUCUUGAGUAAAAAAAAACACAACCACGUAUAAUAUGAUGAGCCACGUCUUCCUUGCAGUCUCCACACUGCCACCCAGCACACGCCUAAAGAAGGCAGCAGUCGCUUACUCACCAGCAGAGUGCCUCCAUACAGAGGAUACCUGAGUCAGUGGUGGAGCGUGGUUGGAAUGGGCCCU